AGCAUCCACAUGCCCUGGGCUCCUGAGCAGUUCCCCCAACAAGGAGACCUUGGCACACACCUGGGGUGGUUGGGAAUGUCACCCUGGGCCGGCUGCUUAACGGAUGUCCCCGAGAUGUCCCUAAUAAAAAAUCCAUAAGCCUCUUGUAAAGGCAAUUCCCCUUCUGGAAGGUGGCGAGGGGGGGACAAUACGUGACCAAACAAGUCACCCAAAGGCGUUGGAAGAGGAAGAGUUGGUUUCCAACGGGUGGGACCAGCCCCUUCCCUCCAUCACGGACUCCUCUCAGCAGCUCCGUGAAGUGUCCCCAGCGAUUUAGGUCCCCUCGGGAAAGAGCAGGUUGACUCUCCUCGGCGUCGAGGGCUUGGGAGGGCCACCAAGUGUCACACAGGAGAAUUUGGGGACCAUCUCUGGGCAGUUUCAUGUGGGUUUUUCCCUGUUUUUUAGGGUUUUUAAAGCCGCUUUAGGAGUUGCAUCCUCAUCUCCCAACGGGAGAGAAGAAGGGGAAAGACUUGGCUCUUGGAAUCACCCUCCCCGUGCUCUGCUUCUUGUAGAUUUGAUGCUCACCUGAUAAAUUAGGCUGCCCCACGUCCGUGGCAUCUUUGCUGAGAGGAUGGGAGGUGGUGGGGGUACUCCAGACACCAAAGCCCCCCCUGGGGAGGAGCAGUGUGGGGCAGGAGGGCGUUAGGAAGCUCUGGGCUGCCCCAAAUCCCCACCACGGGGAGGGUGGAGGGAGAGGUGGGUGAUGGAGCCAGGGGGGUGACCAGGUUUGGUCAAAGCAGCGUGUGACCCCCCCCAGGGUGACAGACCCUCUCGUGUCCCCCCGUUUGCAGCAUGUGGAAGGUCUGAGCCAUCUCCCACCUUCUCUGGGACACCAUGGACACGGAAGCCGUGCAGCCCCAGGAGGCUCCGCUGACGGUCAACGAGCAGGUUAUUGUCAUGUCCAGCCACGAAACCAUCCGGGUGCUGGAGGUCGGCGUGGACGCCCCGCUCCCGGCCGAGGAGGACCGGAAAGCCCCGGGGAUGCCACCAGGGGAGGUAGCACGGGGCUCCCCGGGAGAAACCACCCCCCCGGGCACAGAGGACAUCCCACCCAGCACCCAGAGCUCCUGCAGUGUGGAGACGGCCGGAAAAGCCAAAGUGGCCACCGGAGCGUCCCCCAGCACCGUCUCCCCCCUUGGCACCUUCGGCCACUCCACUAGCCAACAGCCCCAGACGGUGGCCACCCCCCUGGCCGUGCAGGCCACCCCACAGUAUUGCAGGUCAAGUGGCCGGUCAGCAGGGGCUGGCUGUGUGGACAUUUCCUACAGCAACCGUCGCUGCCCUCCCCGGAUUGACGGCUCCUUCUCCUACGGGGGGAAUUUUCAAACAGCCCAUAGCCAAUCUGCAAGGUAAACCCACCCCCCCCCCCCCCCACCACGGCUGCUCUUCGGCCUCGCAGCCUCCUCGAUUCAUCAUCCUCCUCCUCCCCCUUUUAUUUCCCCGUCCCUCGCCCUGGUGCGACUCGAUCUGUGCCCAGUCCAGGCUCCCCUUUUCCUGCAGGUCUGAAAUGGGCAGAAAUUUAAGGAAGGGGGGGUUGGUUUGUGGGAAAAAAGUCCAAGCUUCCCUUUUUCUGUAGGAAGGGUCUGAAACAGCCAGAAAUUUGAGGAAGGGGGAGNNNNNNNNNNGAAGAAUCCCGGCUCCCCUUUUUCUGCAGAAAGGGUCUGAAACAAAAAUUGGAGGAGGGGGGGGGGUGUUGGUCUGUGGGAGAAGAAUCCAGUCUCCCCUUUUUCUGCUGAAAGGGUCUGAAAGGGCCAGAAAUUCAAGGAAGGGGGUUUUUUGGGGGCUUGGUUUGUGGGAGAAGAAUCCAGGCUCCCCUUUUUCUGCAGGUCUGAAAUGGCCAGAAAUUCAAGGAAGGGUGUGUUUUGGGGGGGAUGGGUUUGUGGGAAAAGAAUCCAGGUUCCCCUUUUCCUGCAGGUCUGAAAUGGCCAGAAAUUUGAGGAAAGGGGGGGAAUUGGGGAGGGGGGGGG
rnacentral:lncRNA from 1 species